AUGGCAAACCAACUGGGUUAUGAAAGAGCAGUGGAGCAUCCAAAGCCAUCCCUAUCACUUGAGGAAGUGUUCUCUGCAUACCACAUACCGGGAUGGCAGCCAAACGAGAAAUUGAUUGAAAUGAGAAGUUUGGAGCAGACUGGGAGGAAAACUCAUAGGAUCCUCUAUGCCAUGCAGUGGGAGGUAUGUGAUCUUAUCAGUUGUCUGCAACCUCUUUUUUUUUUUUUAAAGUAAGUUUACUUAUUUUUUUAAAUUUUCUUUUUUAUAAUCUCUAAACCCAAUAUGGAACUCAAACCUAUUAUCCCUAGAAUCAAGAGUUGUGCGCCCUUCUGACUGAGCCAGCCAGGCACCCCUGUCUGCAGCUUCUCAUAACCAGUUCUUGAUUUUGAACUAGGAUUGAUAUUAAGGUCAUUGGUCUGUUGUUUGUGGUCAGCUUCUUUCCAGUUUUAAAUAUUCCUUGUUCUUCUGAUUGUUUCAAAGAGAAGGCGUCAUGUGAUCUUGCUUUCUAUCUUUCUGUCUUAUGAUCUCAUUUGCAAACUAUUUUAGUAUCUUGAAACAGAGUAUUAUAAUGGUUGCCUACUGAACACCUAUUCCCAUUUAGUCCAUAAAUAACAUUUUUAUUUCUUUUUUUAUUUUAAAGAUUUCACUUAUUUAUUCAUGAGAGACACAGAGAAAGAGGCAGAGGCAGAGGGAAAAGCAGGCUCUCUCUGGGGAGCUUGAUGUGGACCCUAUCCCAGGAGCCCAGGAUCAUGACCUGAGCCAAAGGCAGAUGAUUAACCAGUGAGCCACCCAGGUGCCCCACCUAAUAACAUUUUUCUUACAUAGCUAUGCACUUUUAAGAAACCAGAUUCCCAUCCUCACCUCGUGAUCAUGAUUAGUUUAGAAACUGUGUCUAUGGCAUUCCCAAGGGACUAUUAUUGGUCUGGGGGUAUAUCUAAUCAAAGAUUGGAUUUGUCAGGGUAUAUAGUUUCUCUUCUUCUGGACAUAUAGAAGAACAUUUGUAGCCCAAUGACUAUUGACAGCCAUCUUCAAGCAAGGAGAAAAAUAAAGGGUUAAAGCCAUUCCUGAGGACA
rnacentral:lncRNA from 12 species